AGAAAGAAGAGGGGGAACCGAGUGGCUCUCCCUCCCUCCCUCCCUCUCUCUCUCUCUCCUUCUUUCUAUCUUCUCCUCGUGGCAUGCUUGGCGGCGGUAGCCACCCAUGGCCGACGACCCAGUCAUCGACAACCCCAACGUGGUGCCGACCACGUGCCAUGCCCGACGACGGUCGGCCACGCACCAUGCCCGACGACGGUCGGCCACGCACCAUGCCCGACGACGGUCGGCCACGCACCAUGCCCGGCGACGACAGGCCGAAUGGAAGAAGGAAAAGACCGAACCGUUGCUCAGUUUCUCCAUCAAUCUAAUGGCUUACCGACCAUAUUCCCAAAGAAGUAAUGGCCCAAAGAUGAGGAAGAAGGAGGAGGAGGUGCUCACCUUGCCUCCGACGAGCUCCUCUGGCUAGAUCAGUGGUGAAUACUCUGAUCUCCUCUCACAGAUUGCUUGGCGGUCAAUCCUCCUAUGGAAGGGCUCUUGGUUGAUGCCCUAGAAAGGAGGGGAAAGGGAGUCUUUAUAGGCAAGAAUAAGGCUCAAUUUAGACUUCUCUUCCGGUGAAUGAGAUUACUAAAGCCUUGGCAAAAAUGGGAUACUUGGUGAUACCAUCAGACGAUGCUGGCCGAUUCGUGUGCAACUAUGUUUACUAUCAUUCGCUCCAGUUUGCAGAACAACAUGGCAUUAAGUCUCUUUUUGUACAUGUUCCUCUUUUUCUGACAAUCAACAAGGAAACCCAGAUGCAAUUUGCUGCUUCCCUUUUGGAAGUACUUGCUUCCUUGCCCUAGUGCCUUGAUCAUCUUCUUGAACAUUAGUUCCCUCUUCAAACCUGUUGGAAUUUAUGGUGAACCAAGGUGUCAGGCAUCAUAUAAGGAUGCUUAUUUGCUUGUUAGACCAAAAUCGUCUCUCUUGAAGAUAAUAACUGUGAUUUUGUUGAUUUGGUCAAUCAUCUACUCAUGUGUCUUGGAUAGAUGGUCAAUGGAAUUUUCAUGUUUGAUACAAGCAAUGUACGGUUGCUUGAGGGUGUAUAUAUUUGUGAUCAGAUUUUGCUCAUGAGUUUGUGCAUCCUGCAAAGAACUCUGUAUUUGCAGAAGCAAAUGUGGAACAAGUUGGGUCAUUUCUGCUGAGUUCCUGCUUAUGGUUUGUAUGAGUGCUAAGAAUUCCCAUCUAAGAGCUCGAAUUAUUGUUUUUUUUCAAGUUAUAAGCAAUAAAGUGAGGAAAUUUCAGAUCCUAAAUUAAUAAAUUAUAAUAAUGAAUAAAAUCAGCUGGUAAUCCUUUUACAAAAGCAUAUCGAGCUUGUUCCUAUGAAUAUGGUCAAAUAAACUCUAUGUACAUGGACGACCAUAAGCCAGCAAACUUAAAAAUUUCUGCUUGAUUUAUUCAUUAGGACUUGUUGCUGGCUUAUGGUAGAUGCUUGGUGUAAUGUUAAGCUCUAAAAGAUGUAAUGGAAUCCUGGGACGAUUAUUAUUGGAUGAAACCUUCAAACCCAAAACAUCAACAUUAACAGCCUACUGCAGUGCAUUAAAUACAUGCGCAGAGAAAAAUGCGCAACUAUGAACACAAAGCCCCUGCAGUUGCCUGGGAGACCUAAGGUUUCAUCCAAUAACAUCAGGAUCACUACUUAUAACAUCAAGUGAUUCUUCAUGAGUUGCUGCCUUUGAGAGCAAUUGCUUAACUUGGCUCUUCUUUGUCAGACUUGCCAUUGAAAGUUCAUCAAGGUAGGUGUCUGGGUGGUUAAAGUCUUGGUGAUAAACAGUACCUAUCAAAGUGACACCUGUGUAUUUGGAGCUGCAGGUAUAACUAAGUCUGGUUGGAUGUAGUUCUUGCUCCAUUGUUGUUUGAGAAAAUUCCUAGGUUCACAACCACACCAUCAGAUCAGAACAGAAUAACUAAUGCACGAAAGAACCCUAAUCAGCCUUGGCUUCCACCCUUACCACGCGAUUGAGAUGAAAUGGAUCACAUGGCUGUCCUCAUCAAGUACACAUUUAGAGCCAUUAGUCAUCUUAUGGCCUUUUUAACUUGCUCGCCUUCCAUCACAUUGUCAGUUUUAUUGCCUUCUUGGCCUGGUACCGGCUGCAUGUAUCAUAUGAUUCUUUUCUUUGGUAGGAUUCAUAUUAUUGUUGUAGGAAAUUGUGUUUGAAACUAAAAUUUAGUAAGGGUGGGCCUAUGUUGAGCUAAGUCAAAUACAAAUUUGUAAUGUUGAAGGAAAAACAAAGAAAUUAUAACCUUUGCUUGUGGUUGCAGGCUGUAUCCAUGCCAACAGCCUCAUUUCUGAACCAAUCUACAAAGGUCCCGGAUUGGGUAGAAAAUGGCAAAUGGCAAACUUGAUACCUCCUACACUUGGUGCACUUAAUCUGCAUGAUGGCAUCACCAAUACUUGGUCCAUGCUUCGUCGGGGAAGACCAACCAAGUUGUUGGCUUGUCAGCUGGGAUUAGGGUGUUGGUACUAGAUACCUCAUGUUGGUGUCGAUGAGAUCUUGGGAGGCGAUGAUGGCCCGAUUGGGGGUGAGUUUAGGCGAUGGUGGCAGCACGGGUACUAACUCCAGUGAGGCAUGUAACAAAAGCAUGCUUGAUCACAUACACCACUAGCAGUAACUCUGUACAUGCUCUUGUUCUAUCAAGGUUCGCUCAUCUCUCUCUGUUCCUAUGUUAACACUUUAAUGACAACUAGACUGAUUAUCACAUGAAUGUUAAUUUUGAUUGAGGCCACUUAAAUUUCAGUUUUAUUUUCAAAUCAUAUUCAUUUCUAGGCCCUUAUCUUUUAAAAUUUUGUCAGCAUGUUUUGAAUUUGGAUUAACCUAGUCAGGGGCAGCGGUGAGGAUGAGGGAGAGAAGGAAGCCAGAGGGACUGCGAUAAGCGUGGGAUGAGAGGAAAGAAUAGCUGCAUGCAAUGAUCUUAGUUUUUGGGGUUCUUGGGUGAAGGGGGUGGGGCAUGGGGGCUCCAAUAGUCUUAUGUACCAGGACCAAAAUUUUGUUGAUCAGAGAUUUUUUGAACUUUGAAAACAAUGCCUUCCCAAUGCCUUCCCUCUCAUUAGCUUUUCUUGAUUCCUCCACUUUUUUAGGUUAAAUAAUACCUCCAUUUAUUGUGGAUGAAACAAACUCUAAUUUGAGUGUCGGGCCAUUUGACCUAUAAUAAUGUAUACUUGAUUUCCAACUCUUUGAUAAGUUUUAUAAUGAACUGCAAAUAAGUAUAUUUUAGGUUUUUCUCUCUAAAGGCAAAUUUCUGCAGCAACAACUUUUAUUUCUGUUUUAUUAAGGUCAUAGCAUUGGGAAGCACGAAUUCUAAACAUUUGGAUCCAAAAAUAAUAAGAUAAAGUCAAUUUCACUUGUUAUUUAAUUAGCUCUAGGUUUUAUUGCAUCUUAAUUUUUGCAUUUCUUCUUCUAAUCUAUUCAAUGGAUUUUUCAAAUCCUGAUGCAGAUGUUUUUAUGUCUUGUGGUUUCAAUCGUAUGGUUAUUUUGUUUUGUUUAUUAUAACACCUUUUUUGGGCAGAAGGAGAAAGGAAACAAACAUUCUGGCUUAGGAAGGUUGAUGAUAUGUUCCCAGCUUCCAUUAAAAGCCUUUUGACAAGCAGUAUCGUUAAACAGCAGUUACAAGAACUACUUGUAUCUGAUACUAAAGACUAAGAAAUGCAUACAUGUUUCGAAACCCAUUUUAAUGGAUGCCAGAUCAAAGCCAAGGGCUAACAAACCCCGUAUGCCUUCAAGGUGGACCUUAUAAGCAUGGAAGGCUACCCGAUUAACCAACUAAAUAAAAUCUCAGUAAAUUCAAUUUAAAAGCAAAACUCACUCAAUCUUCCAGGUAUUAGGUAAGGAAAAAUGUAAAUAAUAAUUUAUGCUCAACAACAAUAAUCCCAAGAUAAUAGUGUCACAAUGUUCCAGCACAUAAUUUGAUAACCAAACCAAAUAUAAAAGUAACAUAUACAGAAUCCAACUAAAUAACUAAAGAAAACUAUAUCUACUAGGAACUCGGAAGCAAGUCUAUGCGUGCACUCCCCAAGCCCCAUGUGAUUCAUGAUUUAGAAUCUGAAAAUAGGAAAAAAAGAAAACAAAGAAAAAAGUUAGUGAGCAACACUAGCUCGGAAAG